rfam:Amazona aestiva scaffold_30, whole genome shotgun sequence.
ACCUCAUCUUGAACAGUGUUUCAAAUGACUU